GGAAGCCGGUGGGAUCCCGGCGCGGUCGCGCCACUGUAUGUCCGGUCUUCACCAGCCCAGCAGGGCCGGGACCGGGCGAGCCAGAC
rnacentral:ncRNA from 1 species